CAGACACGGGUAAAUAAUGCGAAAUUAGAUAAAACAGGAUGUUUACAUUUAACGCGUACUUACGGAAAAGAAGAACAUUGGACAAAAACGUUAAGGAGAGGAAAUUAUGAGGGGAUAUGACACAUAACAUAACACAUAUUUGUAAGGAGGACGUAAUUUUGUUUAAUGAAAUUGCUUAAUUUAAUUUAAUUAUGCUAGUGUUUGAAUUGUUCUUUUAAUAGUUUUAUUAUGGAAUGUAGUUUUGUUGGAGUUUUUUUUUUAAUGAAUAUUUAUUUCCCAUGUUUUGAUAAUCAGUGUUAGUUGAUUAAGAUGGGAGCACUGUAAUUACCACAGAAAAACUGGGGCCUAGCAGUAUUCCAGCAUAGAAAAAUGGUAUAAAUUGGAGCUGGAGAGUGUGAGGAAUGUGAGUAAUUUGUGCCUUAGGGAGCCUUAGUCGGUUAAUCCGGCCAUGCUAUUGGUGUAUUGAUACAGACAAUGUAUGUGAUGUGGACAUUUGGAUUGUAUGCUUUUGUAUUUUGAGAAUGAGAAAUAUCAUCAGUGUAUAAAUUCAUAUACCUUUAAAAAAAAA